rnacentral:rRNA from 1 species
GAGCUUGCUUCUCUGGAUGAUGUGCGAAAGGGUGAGUAACGCGUAGGUCACCUGCCAGGUAGCGGGGGAUAACUAUUGGAAACGAUAGCUAAUACCGCAGAGUAGUAGAUGUUGCAGGACUUUUGGUUAAAAGGUGCACUUGCAUCACUACCCCAGGGACCUGCGAUGUAUUAGCUAAUUGGUGGGGUAACGGCUCAACUCGGCGACGAUACCUAACCAACCUGAGAGGGUGAUCGGCCACACUGGGACUGAGACACGGCCCAGACUCCUACGGGAGGCAGCAGUAGGGAAUCUUCGGCAAUGGACGGAAGUCUGACCGAGCAACGCCGCGUGAGUGAUGAAGGUUUUCGGAUCGUAAAGCUCUGUUGUAAGAGAAGAACGAGUGUGAGAGUGGAAAGUUCACACUGUGACGGUAUCUUACCAGAAAGGGACGGCUAACUACGUGCCAGCAGCCGCGGUAAUACGUAGGUCCCGAGCGUUGUCCGGAUUUAUUGGGCGUAAAGCGAGCGCAGGCGGUUAGAUAAGUCUGAAGUUAAAGGCUGUGGCUUAACCAUAGUAGGCUUUGGAAACUGUUUAACUUGAGUGCAAGAGGGGAGAGUGGAAUUCCAUGUGUAGCGGUGAAAUGCGUAGAUAUAUGGAGG